GACGAACGCUGGCGGCGUGCUUAACACAUGCAAGUCGUGCGGUAAGGCCCUUUCGGGGUUACACGACCGGCGAACGGGUGGGGAAACGUGAAGAAACCGUCCCUUCCCUUUGGGUUAACUGCCGGAAAGGGGGGCUAAUUCCGGAAAUACCUCCCUCACCCAUGGGGGGGGGGGGAAGGCCUUCGGGUGGUGGGGGAUGGGCUCGCGGCCUAUCAGGUUUUGGGUGGGGUGAUGGCCUACCAAGGCUUCGACGGGUAGCCGGCCUUAGAGGGUGACCGGCCACCCUGGGCCUGAGACACGGCCCAGACUCCUACGGGAGGCAGCAGUGGGGAAUAUUGGACAAUGGGCGCGCGCCUGAUCCAGCAACGCCGCGUGAGUGAUGACGGCCUUCGGGUUGUAAACCUCUUUCGCCUGCGACGAAGCGAGAGUGACGGUAGCAGGUAAAGAAGCACCGGCCAACUACGUG
rnacentral:rRNA from 1 species